GGAGAGGCUGGCUUAGCUGGUUUGCCUGCCUCUCCUCCCUCUCACAGUUAGGUAAUCUACGUGGGACCAGUUGAAAAUGGACAGUGUUCAACUCCACUGAAGUGGGUGCAGAGUGCAGUCCCUCUACCUCACUCUUUACAAUCGCUUUACCCAGAGAGAGGGACGAGACCCUGACUUCUCAGUAAACAUUUCCUCCCUGAGGUUGUCACCCGCUGCCCUAUUAUCCAGGUAGCUCCAGCAGAGUCUUACAUUCCUCAAGCUGACUUAUGCGCAGAUCAAACAAUCGGCAAGACAAAGGCAAAAUUCACUAACGGCACCAGCACUCCAAGUCGACUCUUCAUGACCCCAUGGACCAGAGCACGCCAGGCACUCCUGUCUUCUCUAUUGGUAUAAUCACUUCCAAUAAAACCUUCCAAGGUGCGUCCCAAAGCUUCAGUCUUGCAGUUCAAAAAGCAAUUCAUCAAGCAGACCUAAAAUUACUCAUUUAUUCUAAGUUGGAGAUUCAGUUUCCAUGCUAGUUGUCUGCAGUACAAAAGAUCUGUUUUAAGAAUGUAAUCAACCAAAUAAGAUGGUAAUGUGGCAUAAAUGUUGGAAUAAAUUCUGCCUUAGAAGCACCUUGGUGCUAAAACAGCAA